rnacentral:rRNA from 1 species
UCCAGGCAAAUCCGGAUAAUCAAGGCUGAGGUGUGAUGACGAGGCACUACGGUGCUGAAGUAACAAAUGCCCUGCUUCCAGGAAAAGCCUCUAAGCAUCAGGUAACAUUAAAUCGUACCCCAAACCGACACAGGUGGUCAGGUAGAGAAUACCAAGGCGCUUGAGAGAACUCGGGUGAAGGAACUAGGCAAAAUGGUGCCGUAACUUCGGGAGAAGGCAC